UGGCGGACGGGUGAGUAAAGUAUCGGAACGUGCCCAGUCGUGGGGGAUAACGUAGCGAAAGUUACGCUAAUACCGCAUACGAUCUAUGGAUGAAAGCGGGGGAUCGCAAGACCUCGCGCGAUUGGAGCGGCCGAUAUCAGAUUAGGUAGUUGGUGGGGUAAAGGCUCACCAAGCCGACGAUCUGUAGCUGGUCUGAGAGGACGACCCGCCACACUGGGACUGAGACACGGCCCAGACUCCUACGGGAGGCAGCAGUGGGGAAUCUUGGACAAUGGGCGCAAGCCUGAUCCAGCCAUGCCGCGUGAGUGAAGAAGGCCUUCGGGUUGUAAAGCUCUUUUACCAGGGACGAUAACGACGGUACCUGGAGAAUAAGCCCCGGCAAACUUCGUGCCAGCAGCCGCGGUAAU
rnacentral:rRNA from 1 species